rnacentral:lncRNA from 1 species
CCACCUGGCCACCUUGACUAAAUUUUUUAAUUUUUACUUGGUUUUUCUUUUUUAAUUUUGAUUUUUAUUUAAUAAUUAAAAAAUAAAAAUCCAAAAAAUUUAAUCCCUUGCUUAAAAUGUAGAGUGAAGUUGGAAAAUGGCUUUGAUGCCAUCUAAACUGUUUUUUUAUUGAAGCACUUAAUUGUCAUUUUCAAAUCUGCUUUUAAUUAAAGAGACAUUUUACAUAAGCACACCUAUACUUACACCUGCAAUGGCUCUUUUUGCGCAUUUGUUGUUUUUGGUGUUGAUUUUAAUGUGCUUCCUUCUGUAUCGCAACUUGAUUUGAUGCAAUGCUUAAAGGAUAAAUUUUGAAAUACAGGAGUAAAUACAACUAAUAAAAUGUAUGUAUGACAUGCAUAUUUAAAAUUAAUAUAAUCAUCCCUUACAUAAUAAUUUAUUAGAAUAAAUACAUACACAUUAUAAUAUAAUUUACUUAUUUGUAUAACUGAUAUAAUAUCUCUAACAUAUUCUAAAAUUUAUCUAUUUAAGGUGUAUUGAUGGCUAAAGUUCUAAAACAAUUUGUUACUUUGUUUAUCCCCUGGGAAUAGAUUUUAUCGUGCCCGUUUCUUCAAGAAUGAAGUAUCAUUUGCAUUCGGAUGAGACUUACAGUCAGUAGCGGAAUCGAUUAAAUUUGCAAACUCGUCUCAUGAUUUAAUUAAAAAUAAAAAAUAAAAAAUUCAUUCAUGUUUGUUUGCAGUGGAAUCUCUAGGGUUUAUUUUUGCGUGGAAUUCAGGUUUUAUUUUGAAACCGACAUUAGGAAAUAAAAGAUAUCAUCAAUGAACGCUAGACUGAAAUACUCUGUAUACGAUGGACAGUUACAAUCAAAGAUUCAGACCUCCAACAUUAUUACUACAUACACAGUGAAAUUGAUCUACAUGCUCAUUUCUCGCCAUUAUGGCGACAUCACGUACCACCUCAUGCUUAGAAAAAUGAUCAUCAUUAGCAGUAAUACUGUUAAGUAACCAUACAAGAAGUUUUUCGUCUGUGUAUAGUUGAGCUUACGCUUCUUCCAUCAUCUUAUUGAUGCCUUGAAAUAAACCCAAACCCAUGCCGUAGUUUCACAAGUAUAACCCUGUCAUCUUCUCAAAUAGGCACCAAAGCUGCUGCUUCAUUUUCUUUAUUCUCUCACCCUACGUUGAUCUAAAAAUGAACAGCUAAGAUUUCUCGAUUAGAUAUCAUAAGUGGUGGAUGAUGAUCUAUAGCAACAAGCAUGAUGCCUGUGUGGACCCUAAAUUGAAUUCUUGGAGCAUUCCUAAGAUAUAAAAUCUCUUAGGAACAAACUACAUAUGCAAAACCUUCACCAGUUGAGUCUCACCAACUUCAAUGAUACUUCCUCCUUCACAUUCCUCUUUAUGAGCAUAUACGACUCAAAUUCCAUCCUCAGUCAAAUCUAUAAAGAAUUGGCUUAAAGCCGGUCAAAGUAGACUCUCCUAUCACUACAUAGUAAUGUGAAACCAAGACUUCCGUUCUCAUUUGUUUGAUCUGCAUUCUUUCUUGGAAAUGAAACACCAAACUACUUAUUAGGUUGCUUCUUGUUGCGAAUCCAUCUUUCUUAUCAAUUUCAUUUUAAUUUUUGACAGUCAACUUUACAUACAUCCCUCGUAUAUGACUCUUAGAUCUAAGAAUUCAUAAAAAUAUUCUUAUCUUUCUUCAAUCAUUUACAUUCAUUCUUGGGAAAAAAAUAUCGACACUAAUUUAUUUGCGAUUUCUCCUUGAAUCUUUUUCAUUUAUAACUCUAGGGAUGUUUAUUGAAAAACUAACUAAAUAAAGAGUAUUUUCCUCUACUUGUGUAUUCUUGCCCACGCCUCCUAUUCCCCACUCAUCAAAGAUGUUGUUCACACCAAUCACCCAUUGCUCAAAAUACGUUUCAAUAUCUUCCCCUAUUUUAAGGAUAUACAACACUGUGCUGAAAAGCCGUCGGCGGAUUUAUAAACUUAAUGAAUCUGCCAAAAGAUAAAAGAUAAAUCAUGUGAACUAACCUGUGGCGAGUCCUCAAUGUCCUUUCGGCAUUUCAACAAAUAGUUGGCACACAAGCAGCUCAAGCGCUUGCACGAAGGCCUCCGGGAUUGUAAAAGCUGAUGCCGCCAACAUUUUCGAACUCGUAAGACUACCGAAGCUUUCGAUAGAAUCUGGUGGCAAUCAUAUGUGAUAUUAAAGCUAGAGGAUACGAUGGUACAAAAGAAAGUAUUUGUGGUUAUAGCUUGCUUUGGUUUCUUCCAGACGCCGAGGGGCGGCGUGGGUUAGGGCAAAAUAAAGUCUUUAACCCAACCAAACAAAUAUUAUUGUCUAUUGAAUAACGUAAAUUAGCCCGAUCUUAUAAAGCUGGC